AAAUUUAUUUACAAAACGAAACAAAUUUAGUUUUCAUUUGACUACGCGUCGUGCAACAAGUAAAAAUUUUUUCAAAUUAAUAUUUCUCAUUUACACACGCUCUCGCUCUACUAGAAUCGUGAUGCUGCGGACGCGUUAGAGCUACAACGGGAAAAAAUUAUUUUCACGGUUCUAAAAUACAAUUUUAUUCAGAGAAAAAUUAAGAAAAAAAAAAAAAUCGGGAACAAAUAAAUAUAUUUCAGUUUUACUCUUGUUUCCUCCAUAAAUAAAAAUUAACUUGACAUAAAAGAAUUAAUUAAAAUUGAACUGACAGCAACGGUUGGCUGACAGAUUUAGAUUUUAAAAAUGUAUUAGUAAUUAAAAAAAAAAAAUAGUGCAUUUUUCUAAAAUUCUACAAUAAUAUGCCGGUCAUUUUAUAAAAACUUACGUUUAUUUGUGUUCAUUUACUGCCAGCCAAAAAUUAUGUAAAAUUUAAAUAAAAUACAUCAAAAACAAAAAUUGCAUAAAUUAAAUAAAAUAAAAGAAAACAAAUCUGUUUUUUUUGUCAUUCUAAAAUUUAAAUCGUUUAAAGCAUUUUCAAAACAAUUUUCGUACAAGUGCAAUGAACGUUUUCAAUAACGCGCAAAUUGUGUUCAUCUGAUUACUGUUAGAGUUCAGUGUAAAAAUUUAUAAAAAAAAACUAGUGAGAUCUUUAUUUAAAAAAAUGUCAACUAAAAAUCUAACGAGCAGUGAUCUAAACUGAAGGAAAAAAAUUACAUAAAAAAACUUUUUUUUUCAAAUUAAUUAAAAAUUGAAAAUUUUCAAACAAAUAUUAAAAGAAAAUUAAACAAAAAUGCCCUACAUUGCAAAAUAAUGUAAAUGGAAAUAAUAAAAUCUAAAAAACAACAACAACAAGACGAAACAAAAAUGUAAAAUAUAAAUAUUAACAACAAAAAUCGUUCUCACUCCCACCUUUUGUCUAUACAAAAAUGAAACAUGUUUACAUUUCAAACUAAGAGUAAAAGCCAAAAAAAAAAAAUCCAACAAUAUCAACAACAAAAACAACUAAAUCCAUAAAUGUUAUAAAAAAGACUUUUGUUUAUAUACAGCAACAAUAACAAUAUAGCAACAACAUAAAACUGUUUGUAUGUGUGUGUGUGUAUUUCUUUUAUUUAUAUUUUCUCUCCUACAAACAAAAAGAAAAUAUAAUGAAAACUCUCUCAGGUUGCUGUUGUCGAUCGCAAUGAUGAUGUUGCUGCCUUUUUUGUUGUUGUUAAUUAUUUAUUCAUUCAUUCUAUAGUGGGAGUCGUAAAAUGUGCCAAAAUAAAUAAAAGAAUAAUAGUGUUUUUCGCUUUUUUAAAUAUUUUUGUAUAAAUUUUACACAAAACUAUAAUAACAUUAAUAACAGACUUAUAAACGUAAUUAAACAAAAACUAAACAGUGAUUUAAAAAAAAAUCAUUGAAAAAUUGCAAGAAAUUGAAUAAAUAGAAGGACAAAAUUCUACAAAAGUUAAAAUGUCAUAUCGCAGUAGUUAUACUCCUUGGAAAUCUUCACUAUCUCCGAAUUAUAAAACAGGGGCCUCCAGUGCGUACUCUUCAAGAGAUGAUGUCAGUGCCACCUCUCGUUAUAGUUCUUUGGCUUCACCCAGUUCCUACAGACCCUCCUUUUCGGGAGGAACAUAUCGUUUAAAACGUGACACGCCUAUAGUUCCCACUUCCACCUAUGUCAGUCGUUAUUCAGCUGCAACAAGUUCUCCUGCAACAAAACCAGAUACCAGCAGUACUAGCGAUUCCUCUGGUUCCAAGCCGGGCCAGCUAAAACGUUAUGGUUCUUCGGCCAGUAGUUUGGGUAAAUAUUCCAGAGAACCCAGUCCAGCAGCAUUGGAACAUACAAACAGAAUAAAAAGUAGAGAUCCUAGUCCGGCAACUAGAAGUCUUAGAGGGAAAUCUAGAGAUCCUAGUCCUGCUUUAGAUACAAAAUGUAAAAUUGGUUAUGGUUCCUCUGCAAGUUCCUACAGAAUGAAUGUGCCAAAGUCCACAACGGGCAACACAUAUGGAACACGUUAUGGUAGUUCAUCUACGGCUGGAAGAACACCAGCAGCUAAUAACUCUUCAACUUCUAUAUCCUAUUUAUCGGCUAGUGAUUUUAAGGCUAGAUCGAUAAGUAAAGCUCGAGAAGCUGCCACACGUAAAUCGAAUGAAAAGGAAUUGGAAGCACAAAAAACUGAGGAGAAAGAAGAAAACAAACCAGAAGCCACUUCUAAUGAAGAAUCCACAGGCUCCUCGGAAACAGAUGAGGAAGACGAUGAGGAGGAGGAAGAUAACGAGGAAAAAUUUGUUUCUGUUGCCGUAUGUACUAGAGCGACAUCACCCACACCCCCCGGAACAGCUCCCACAGUUCAUCGCACCAGACGCAUAGAAAUUGCCAAGACUAUAGAGAAGACUAUACAACGUUCUACGCGAAAAAAGAAAAUGCUGGAAAAAGAAAUUCAAUCAGAUCGUUUAGAUGAUUCCACACGCUACUCCAGAUUUGGUUUAAGUAGUCGGGUUUCUUCUCCCUACAGUCCUCAUACGGAACGUUAUACUUCCUCUAGUUUACGCUACAGUCACAGUCCUCUCUCCACCACGGCCUCCAAAUCCUCAUCACUGAACUCUACUUCGGAAAGUAAAAAGGAUGACGUUUCAGCUUCUUCCACUUCCGCUAGUAGUAAAGCUAAUAAAUCGCCUUUAAAUAGCAAAUCAAAACUUUCUCCUCCCAAGUCCAUAAAAAUAACUUCAAGACAAUCGUCGAUGGAAAAUCUAAGUGCCCAUAAACCACCGGCUGCUCCCAAAGGAGAAUCACCCACCAAAUCGAUUUCUUCCUCAACUGGUGUUUCAACAAAACUGCCUAAUAAAGAUUUUCGUAAAUCGGCUCUUAAUGUAGGACCCACCGAUCGACCGCGUAAAUCGAGGACCCCCAGUACAGGCACAGAUUCAGAUUUAAAUACAGUAGAAGCUUUAAAUGGUGCCCUGCAAGCCAUACAACGUUUAGAAAGAUCACCCAGUGCGGGAUCAGAAGUAAGCAAUGCGUCUAAUAGAUCUAUUAGACGUACCGGAACCGAUAGCAAACUUAGACCCAGAUGUCAUAAUAAAUCCUUUGUCAAUGGUUCGGUAGUGUCACCCAAAUCACCCUUAAGUCGCAACAAUAGCACUUCAAACAUUAAAGCAAAAUCUUCCACUUCCACCUCUAGUACAACCACCCAAUCAUCAGCGGGCACCACAACCACCACUUCUUCAUCAAGUGGUACGGAAAGCUGUACCGAAAGUAAAAAGUCUACGAAGAAAAUCAUUAAGAAAAAAGCAAUUAAAGACGUCACCAAUACAAGCAGUAGCACAAGCACUACCGCCACCACAACCUCACCGACCACACACAGCACAGCUGAUAGUCGUAGUAUAAAAUCAUCUAGUGAAAAUAGCUUUUCACAACAACCACCAGCUGCCUCCGUCAACAACCAAAAAGCCAAAAAGUCUGAUUCAUCAGCCACCAACAGUCGUACCACCCCCAAAACCCCCUCCGAUAAAGAUCCCCUAAGGCGUUUAAAGAAAUUGUCAUCAGUGUCGAACUUUUUCGCCGCACAACAGCAAGACAAUGCAAAUAACGAUGAACAGAUUUACCUUGAAAGCUCUGAGAACUCAUCAUCAGGUAAUGAUCUAGAUAGAUCGUUAUCGAAGAAGAGCAUCAGUUUAACGCAAGCUAACGAAACGAAAACAACGCCUUCGCCAGCCGUCAAAACGAAAACUAGCGGUAGCAGCAGUAAGAGUAAUCCGAAUUAUACGAUAAAUUCUAUAGACGAACCUAAAAACAGUAUAAAAACGACAAAAUCAACCUCGUCAACGUCCUCGACGAAAACUAAAACAAAAACCAAAUCGAAAUCGAAUACAAAAUCUUCUAGUACCUCAACUUCGUAUUGUCCUCAGGAAACCACAACGGUAAACGAAUCGUCCAUAAUGCCUAGUGAAUUGCAGACGGAAUCUUUGUCUCCCUAUACUACCACCAAUCCCACCACCUCCUCUACCUCGGGUACGGAUCAGGAGGAAUCUAGCUGGUGGCAGGAUACUAGCAGGCAAAUAGAUACCGCCUCGGCUUUAGAUUUCAAUUUGAAAGAUGAAAUGCGUUUUAAGAUAAGACACAUAGAUUCGGGAGAAACCGCCUGGUGGUUGCGCAAUGACGAAGAUGAUACCUUGGCGGAUGAUGAUUUAAAGACUUUAAAUCAAGAAGAAGAACUAGAAGAAGAUGAGGAUGAUGAGGAGGAGGCCACAGAUCACAUACAAUCUUUAACCUCUACCCCCAGUGGCAAUGCUGCAAAGCUAAACGAUAAACCAGGUGGCUGGUGGAUAACUAACGAGACUAACGAUGAAACGCCCAACGAAGAUGAAGAAAAACACGAAACGAUUUAUGUGAAAAGUAGAUCUAGUAAUGAUUUAGAUUAUCCCUCCAAUGGUUAUUGUGUCGAAGAAGCUCCUGUUGAAGCCAAACCAUUUCCCAAAAGUCGCAUAACACCCGAAACGGAUUGGUGGAAUGAUGACAAUGAGGAAGCUCAAGCUGAGUAUACCGUCAACAAUAAUCCUUCGUUAAACAGUGACAAAACGAGUAAUAAAUCCGGUAAUAAUCUCUCACAAUUAAGUGAUAAACUACCCAAACAAAAUGGUUCCAUACAAUUGAAAAUCUGUCGUGUAGAGUCCGGCGAAAAGCCCUGGUGGCUGCAAGAAGAACAGCAGACAGAGACUCAACCUCAAGAGAACGAAAUAACAGUAGAAGCUACUAUAGCUUUGCCCAAGAAGAAUAAAGAUAAAACUGAUAGUUCCUCUAGCAAUAGUGAUUCGAAAAAUAGAUGGAUGUCAGGACCCACCAAGAAAGUAUUCAAUAUACCAAGAGUGGAAUCAGGAGAAAAAGCCUGGUGGCAGGAAGAAACUAGUGAAUCGAAAUCGGAUAAAGCUAGCGAAAAUAAAAACUAUAAACGUAAUAACUCUCAAGAACAGGAAUGGUGGUUGGAGGAAAGCAGUCAACAGCAAAAACCUCCUACAACUCCGCAACACAAUUACCAGCAAAAUGGUUACUUUGAACCACCGGCGCCAAUACAACAACAGCAGCAGCAAUAUUAUCACAACACCGAGGAAGAAGCAGAACUACAGCAGUAUCAGCAUUCAUCCUACAAUCACAAUAAUCUCAUAGAUUCCCAAGCCGAACUAAGUAAUUCCUUUAAUUUUGAAUAUUCCGAAAGACCUCCACCCUUGGGACAAUGUGCCAGUCCCGUGCAACAGGAAGAAUUGCUACCACCUCCGCCACCACAGCAAAGACAACAAUGUACAUCACCCUAUGAUAACAUUCCAAUGACAAAAGUUCAAACAGCCGCAUCACAACAGCCAAUUUUAGAAACUUCGACUAAUUACAUGGCCAGUGGUGGUGGUGGUGGACCCAUUUAUCAACAAGAUAUUGUUUACCUUAAUCAAUCACCUCUGCAGCAACAACCACAACAACAAUAUUUCCCUCAUCAACGGCAACAACAACAACAUCAACAAAACCCCAAUUAUUUACAACAACCACCUACACCUUAUAAUCAAUACAACAACAAUGAAUUACGCUCUCGAAAUGGCCAAUUAUUCAUAUCACGUCAUCAAAAUAUUGAUGAGCUUUUAGGUGGUUCAUGUCGUCCCAUAAGUCCCCUCUAUUAUGAUAAUAACAGCUUUCAGACAAUGCCCCCACAACUGCAACCUCAACAAACACCAACACCAUCUCAACAACGUAAUAUGUUUGUUGAAGAAAUUACACCAGACCAAGUACGCAUUCAUGACAGCACUGCACAAAUGCCCAUUAUACAACGUAUGGAGAGAGAUGACUGGCAGAGAGACUCUCUGGCGGCAAAACCAACAACACCACCACGAUUUGAACAAAGAAUGAUCGAUGAUGCUGCCAUACAAGUCUAUAAAGAUGGUGAUUAUGGUUCCUAUUUGGAUUUGGAAUCAUCAUUGGCUGAACAGUCGGAAGAAAUUGAAGGUCUUAAUUCUAGUCGCAAAAAUUCUUUAGUGGUACGCACCCAGUUGAGUGUCAGAGUACAUGCGAUUAUUGAAAAACUCUUGUCUGCUGAAGGAAGUGAUUUGAGACGUGCCUUAUUUUCGCUAAAACAAGUCUUCCAAGAGGAUAAAGAUCUUGUGCAUGCUUUUGUGGCAUUAGGAGGACUCAACUGUUUGGUGCGUGUUGGUAAUGGUGCUGAUCAAAACUAUCAAAAUUAUAUAUUGCGUGCAUUGGGCCAGGUGAUGCUCUAUGUGGAUGGCAUGAAUGGCGUUAUGAAACAUGAACCCACAAUGCAGUGGCUCUAUUCAUUAAUCGCCUCAAAUUAUCGUUCAGUGGUAAAGACUGCAUUAAAACUAUUGUUGGUAUUUGUGGAAUAUGCUGAAUCCAAUUGCCAUGUUUUGGUUAGUGCCAUACAUGCGGUGGACAAACAACAAGGCACAUUGCCAUGGUCAAAUAUUAUGAGACUUUUAAAAGACUACGAUAAUGCCGAUGCUGAAUUGGUAAUAUAUGCUGCUUCGCUUAUCAAUAAAACCCUAGAGGGUUUAAAUGAUCAAGAUAGUUUUUACGAUGAAAGUGAUUUGUUGGAACAACAAGGUAUGGAAUCUGUGAUACAACAUUAUAUGUCCAAACCGGGAACGGAUAUGGAUCUAUUAAAUCAAUUACAACUUUAUGAAGCAGUAUUGAAAUUUGAAGACGGUGAAUCGGAUGGUACCCGACUGCCCGACAACACUUUACGUAAGACUCAACGUUUUCGCAGUUCUACCGAUACGGCUGAACGUCGAAAAUCAAGACGUCAUAGCACGGGCACUAGUCCUGGUAAUAUAAAUAAAGUUCUACCCACUCAUAUGCGCUUAACACCCACCCAACCGGCCUUGGAUGAGGAUAGUUCGAGUUCAACGAAUUCGGCGGAAUUUAGUGGGGGUGUUUUUGCGGAAAAGAAACCCCGCGAUGGUGCUGGUGUUACACCCGGUCUCAGACGUCGUCGUGAACGUGCCGAGAGACAUCGUAGUUUCCUUAAAGAGCAACAAGAAGCUGCAGCAGCUGUGGCUGCCAAUGGUUAUAUGAAUUCGACAGAUAAUAGAGAAGAUAUGGGACAACUUGUUACCGCCAUACCAGUGACAUUGAAAAAUGGCGAUAGUCCACCAGAAUCAUUAAAUAUCAUAAAUGAGAAUAAUUGCAACUACAAUAAUAACAACAAUCAUAUCACCAAUACCAACAACCACAAUAAUAAUAAUAAUUUAAAACAUUCUUAUCAAAACAAUAACAAUACAAUCAAUCAUUCUAAUGUUAAUGCCAAUUUAAAUGUCAUUGUCAAUGCAACUGCCAAUGCAAAUGCUACUAACAAUAACAAUGCUCUUAUAACCAACAAUCACAACAACAACAACCACAUCAUUACCAAUUCAAAUACUGCAACACACAACAACAACAACAAUCACAUCAAUCUAUUGAGUCCAACGAAACAAUUACUGGGUACCAAUACCAUUUCAAUUAUCAACAAUUCCUUUGAUAAAUCCAAUACAAAUAAAUUGCAACAUCAUCAACAUCACCUCAACCACAAUGUUAAUGCUCCUGCAGCCACAUCACCAGCAGCUGAAUUUUACAAUAAGAAAAAUCUUUUCAUGGAACGUAAUGCCACUGUCAUCAAUGGCCUUAUGAAAAAUAUCCAGCGUCACAAUGUCACGGCAGAGACGAAUAAUCUGGAGGGAGUUGGAGCAGUCAAUGGAACGAAUCUUCAUGCUAAUCACUGUGAUAAUGUUGUAAAUUAUAAGAAAUUUGAAAAUGAUGCGAAUCGUUUGAAUACCUACUACAAUCAAAUCAACAAUAGUACACCAAAGAAUCAACAACACCAACAAUCUAUACAGUCACCCAACUCCACAACCACCUCGCCUGUAAAACACAAUUUAUCCUCUCUCAAUUCAAGUCCAAAGAAAACUAUAAAUUCUACUACAACUUCUACAGCAAUGACUAAUCCACCUUUAGCAUCAGGUUUUGAUUAUAUACCUCAAACCUCUACACCCCAUACUACGCCUGUGAAAUAUGCGGCAACAACAACAACAAUGGAGGAUAAUACAACAACAACAACAUAUGGUACCCCAUCAACACCACGACAGCGCGUUAUGUCACCAAACGUUUCGUCAUAUCCUGUACAAAAUGCUUAUAAUAACACAAUAACGACCACAACAUCAGUGGCACCACCGCCUCCACCUCCGCCACCUCCACCACCAGAUUUAUGGGGUAAUGCUAAUAAUAUGCGAAUGCCUCCGCCACCUCCUCCACCACCACCACCACCUUAUUUUUACCACCAACACAGCAACAAUAUGAGCUACAAUCAAAAUACAACUACUAAUAAUAUAAUUCCAAAUUCCAAUCAAGCCAAUAACGCGGUAAAUACUACUAAUAAUAAUCUUAACAGCAACAGUGAUCAACCUGUUGAUCUAUUACAAAUCAAUGAAUCCGAUAAUGAGGAUAAAAAAUUGUUACUACAAUUAAAACGUGAUCACACUGUUAAAGAUUUAACCCAGAAAUUAUGUAAUUUACCCACAAGUCCUACUACACAGGAUGAUAAAUUACAAAACCGUAUUGUUGGCGAUAUGUCGGGUUUAAUAUCGAAAGCGAAAGAGGGUCUGGCGAAGAGUAAAAGCAAAGGUGAAAUGUCAAGAUCCUCUAGUGUCGAUCAGGAAAUCAAAAAACCCGAACCGAAAAAAUCCGAAAACGAUCUACAAUGGGAAGAAUUGGUGCGCAACAUUUCAAGACCACUCAAUUUGUGUGAUCUCGACUUUACCGAUUUAAAUUCCGAAGAUGAAAAGGAUAUACUAGCUCCUAGAGGCUUUGGCAGAGGCAUACCACCACCACCUCCUCCAAUAGGAGGUGUAGCCUUACCGCCACCUAUGAUGCCCACACAUUUAGUGUGUCCACCACCCAUGAAUCAUCCCAUGUCCAUGUCAAAUACCAGUAAUGGUAGUGGUGCUCUCAUACCACCACCCAUGUUCAGUUAUAGUGGUUAUGGUAAUACCAGUCUAACGAAUAGUUUUAAUAGUUCCAUGAAUGGAUCGAUAAAUGGUGAUAUGAGUAGUAUGAAUACGAUUAAGAAAAAUAAGAAAACGGUCAAACUCUUUUGGAAAGAGGUUAGAGAAGAUCUUAUACCCGUGUCUGUGGGUAAAACCAUUUGGGAUGAAUUACCGGCCGCCAAUGUUGAUACACAAAAAUUAGAACAUUUGUUCGAGUCCCGAGCCAAAGAUUUAAUGACAAAGAAACAACAAGAAAUGAAUAAAAGCAAAGAAGUUAUUGUACUCGAUCAUAAACGAUCGAAUGCGAUCAAUAUUGCAAUGACAAAAUUACCACCACCGCGUGCCAUUAAGGCGGCUAUUUUGAAAAUGGAUGCUACUGUUGUGACCCGAGAGGGUAUCGAUAAGUUGUUGAAUAUGUUACCCACCGAUGAGGAGAAGGGUAAAAUACAAGAAGCACAGAUGGCCAAUCCAGAAUUACCUUUGGGCAGCGCUGAACAAUUCUUAUUAACUUUGGCAUCAAUUUCCGAAUUGGCAGCUAGAUUAAGAUUAUGGGCAUUCCGUUUAGAUUUUGAUAAUAGUGAGAAAGAAAUUGCUGAACCAUUAAUGGACCUAAAACAGGGCAUUGAAAUACUUAAAAAUAAUCGUACAUUCAAAUGUAUUUUGUCCACCUUACUAUCGGUAGGCAUCUUUUUAAAUGGUGCUCCCGUUAAGGGCUUUCAAAUCGAAUACUUAUCAAAGGUUCCCGAGGUUAAAGACACCGUGCAUAAACAUUCUCUACUACAUCAUCUCUGUCACAUGGUCAUGGAGUCCGGUAAUGAAACUACCGAUUUAUAUUCCGAAAUUGGUCCAAUUACCAGAGCCUCUAAGGCUGAUUUUAAUGAUUUAGCACAUAAUCUCUCCCAGUUGGAACAUGAAUGUAAGGCUUCUUGGGAUCGUUUGAAAUUAAUAGCCAAACACGAUUGUCCACCUCAGUUGAAACAGAAAUUGGUAGAUUUUUUGGCUGAUUGUGCUGAGAGAAUUAUUAUUCUACAAGUUGUUCAUCGCAGAAUUAUGAAUAGAUAUCGCAAAUUUUUAUUGUGGUUGGGUGUGCCACAACAUAGUGUGGCCGAUUCUAGACCAAAUGAAUUCUGUCGCAUUGUUUCCGAGUUUGCUUUGGAAUAUCGCACCACUAGGGAAAGAGUUCAACAGCAAAUCGAAAAGAAAGCCAAUCAUAGAGAAAGAAAUAAGACUAGAGGCAAAUUGAUUGUUGAUAUUGCCAAAUUCAAAACCAAAGAAGAUAAACAAGAUGCUGAACUAAAAUUCCUUUUGGGCACACCUAAUGCCGAUACACCCGAUGGUACUCUAACCUGGCGUCGUCGACGUGCCGAAAAUUUACGUUCACCUGUUUUGCGACAAAGCGAAGAGAAUUUCACCGAUGGUGAUGAUGAAAUCUUAGAGUCUUUAGUUAAAACCGCCACCAAAGCUCCCGGCACUAGAACAACACCCAGAGAACGUAAACGUACUCGUCAUGCUGAUAGAAAAUCAUUGAAGCGUUCACGUACCCGCGAAGGAUUUACAGUUGAAAGAGUUCCAUCGCCAUAGAUUUUGUAGAGUGUGUUGCCAUUAAAAGAGCAAUAUUUUUAUACAUAUUUCGUCUCAAUUAUUCAUAAACACAAUUUUAUUUUAGUUUUUUAAUGUGCGUCGUACUCUUAAGAACGGUUUAACCGAAGAAGAAAAACUACAAGUAGCAGCUUUAAUAAAAACCUAUUAAGAAUUUAUAUUACAAAUUGACUGAUUAAAAAAAAAAAAAUUGCUAAAUAUUUAUUAAAAGCAACUGAAUGCUAAAAUCAACAGCAGACUGAACACGGAAAAUGUUUGAAAAGCAAAACAACUACAAUUUAAAGAAGAUCUCAAGCAAAUAAGGAUUUAUAUAAAAUAAAUAAAGGGCCAAAUGGUUUCAAAACUACAUAUAUACAAAAGGUGGAUACAGGAA
rnacentral:misc_RNA from 1 species